rnacentral:rRNA from 1 species
AUUGAACGCUGGCGGCAGGCCUAACACAUGCAAGUCGAGCGGAUGAGAGGAGCUUGCUUCUCGAUUCAGCGGCGGACGGGUGAGUAAUGCCUAGGAAUCUGCCUGGUAGUGGGGGACAACGUUUCGAAAGGAACGCUAAUACCGCAUACGUCCUACGGGAGAGAGCAGGGGACCUUCGGGCCUUGCGCUAUCAGAUGAGCCUAGGUCGGAUUAGCUAGUGGGUGAGGUAAUGGCUGACCAAGGCGACGAUCCGUAACUGGUCUGAGAGGAUGAUCAGUCACACUGGAACUGAGACACGGUCCAGACUCCUACGGGAGGCAGCAGUGGGGAAUAUUGGACAAUGGGCGAAAGCCUGAUCCAGCCAUGCCGCGUGUGUGAAGAAGGUCUUCGGAUUGUAAAGCACUUUAAGUUGGGAGGAAGGGUUGUAGAUUAAUACUCUGCAAUUUUGACGUUACCGACAGAAUAAGCACCGGCUAACUCUGUGCCAGCCGCCGCAGUAAGAC